AUUGAACGCUGGCGGCAGGCCUAACACAUGCAAGUCGGGCGAGUGGCGGACGGGUGAGUAAUGUAUGGGGAUCUGCCUGAUGGCGGGGGAUAACUACUGGAAACGGUAGCUAAUACCGCAUACCAUCAGAUGUACCCAUAUGGGAUUAGCUAGUAGGUAAGGUAACGGCUUACCUAGGCGACGAUCCCUAGCUGGUCUGAGAGGAUGACCAGCCACACUGGGACUGAGACACGGCCCAGACUCCUACGGGAGGCAGCAGUGGGGAAUAUUGCACAAUGGGCGCAAGCCUUAUGCAGCCAUGCCGCGUGUAUGAAGAAGGCCUUCGGGUUGUAAAGUACUUUCAGUCGGGAGGCGUUACCGACAGAAGAAGCACCGGCUAACUCCGUGCCAGCAGCCGCGGUAAUUC
rnacentral:rRNA from 1 species